CAUCGCGCUUAAAACAUUCUGGUGGCACUGGGCUUGCUCGCACUACUGCACGCUUAGAUAUCCUUGACGUGCACUUUCCUAUCGAGUCCACAACAUAGAAAACGUAUCGAUCACGCAUUUUUAUGUGAGCAUAGGACCUGAGCCCGGUUUAUCAUAAAUUUGCGGGGACAACAAGAGUAAAGUGUGCACCGUAAGUGUGCAACUUUUUAUUGUGACGGGCUCCUGGGGCAUGCACACCUGCUGGAAUGCUUCGCACCCAAGCAGCGUAUCUCUUCCUAUUUGCUUUUGUCGCCCAAUCCCACUGUGCAAACGCCGGCGCAAAAGGUACCCCAAUGUUAAAUACAAAGUGCCUAAAGGAACCUACCGUAGAAGACUGCAAUACCAUUCUACUAAGCUGGAGCUAUAACAGUGAAAACAAAACAUGCGAGAAAGGCUUUGUUUGCAAUGACUGUGUUAACAGAUUUGAUGAUCAAAAUGAAUGCAAAAAAGUCUGCUCUAUGGUAAAAGCAAAAAAACCUAGACGCAACAAAAGAAACUGCAGAUACUGGAUGGCAUGGGGGGCAAGUUGUCAAGAUAAAUGGUUUGAAGAAAGGAAGACAAAGGCAGGAAAAAUGGAUCUAAUACUGUUUUUCACCGGCUGUGGAUCAGAAAAGAAAAAGUUAUAUGAAUACAGCUAUUCCCGGAAAAAAUGUCAUGAAGUGCCGUAUCGUGCCCCGAAAAACCCAGUCAAGAUAUGAAGAGGGAAAAUCCAGUGGUGUACCUGCCAGCGGAGGAAGACGUAAUCCUCUGAGCUCCGGAAUAUCGAAUGUUGUAGGCGCCACGCAAUAAUUUGCAAGCUAAUGCUCUCGAACAUCAGGACCAGUCUGAACGAGCCGAAUUAUUAUUAUAAUAAAUAUAUUAUAUGAAAACACACAUACACACACAGGGAGGGAAAUAUGGAAUGAGCAGGCUGGCGACUGCCACCGAGAGUGUCACAAAGCCUGCCUACUCUUUACGAAGGAGGGGACAGAAAAUAAAGUUGAAGAUAACAAGGGAAGUAAAUGAGAAAGAAACAGGAAGAGGCCACAAAGACGAAUGUAAAGCAGGGUCCCAUAACUUAUUAGGCCACAAAUAUAACACGACAUCUGCCGGGACUCUUAGUGCAAAAACGGGCAACGAUAUAACUCCCCGCUAGGGCUCUGGUUUCAGGGCUGCGAGCAACAAGGCCGAUUUCAGUAGCGUAGAUAAACUUAUCUCCUUCUUCCGAGAAUCUAAGGUAUACCACAACCAAAUGUACACCGUCAUUUUUGUUUUUCACCCAUGUUCGGAAGUUGAGCCGGACUUUUUACCAUUUCUAUAAACACAAAUAAAAGGUCUUUUACAUUGUAUGUAUCAAGGCAACCUGAAGAGGAGGUAUUCUGCUUGAUAAACUAUGUAGUGAGAAAGGCAACGCAGAAUAAACUGGUUUUGCUACGGAA